UACGGAGGAUGCGAGCGUUAUCCGGAUUUAUUGGGUUUAAAGGGUGCGUAGGCGGAUCGUUAAGUCAGUGGUCAAAUUGAGGGGCUCAACCCCUUCCCGCCAUUGAAACUGGCGAUCUUGAGUGGAAGAGAAGUAUGCGGAAUGCGUGGUGUAGCGGUGAAAUGCAUAGAUAUCACGCAGAACCCCGAUUGCGAAGGCAGCAUGCCGGCUUCCUACUGACGCUGAGGCUCGAAAGUGUGGGGAGCAAACAGG
rnacentral:rRNA from 1 species